GUCGAACGAACUUCCGUUAAUUGAUUAUGACGUGCUUGCACUGAAUGAGAUUUUAACACGAAGUGAGUGGCGGACGGGUGAGUAACACGUGGGUAACCUGCCCAGAAGCAGGGGAUAACACCUGGAAACAGAUGCUAAUACCGUAUAACAGAGAAAACCGCCUGGUUUUCUUUUAAAAGAUGGCUCUGCUAUCACUUCUGGAUGGACCCGCGGCGCAUUAGCUAGUUGGUGAGGUAACGGCUCACCAAGGCGAUGAUGCGUAGCCGACCUGAGAGGGUAAUCGGCCACAUUGGGACUGAGACACGGCCCAGACUCCUACGGGAGGCAGCAGUAGGGAAUCUUCCACAAUGGACGCAAGUCUGAUGGAGCAACGCCGCGUGAGUGAAGAAGGGUUUCGGCUCGUAAAGCUCUGUUGUUAAAGAAGAACGUGGGUGAGAGUAACUGUUCACCCAGUGACGGUAUUUAACCAGAAAGCCACGGCUAACUACGUGCCAGCAGCCGCGGUAAUACGUAGGUGGCAAGCGUUAUCCGGAUUUAUUGGGCGUAAAGCGAGCGCAGGCGGUCUUUUAAGUCUAAUGUGAAAGCCUUCGGCUCAACCGAAGAAGUGCAUUGGAAACUGGGAGACUUGAGUGCAGAAGAGGACAGUGGAACUCCAUGUGUAGCGGUGAAAUGCGUAGAUAUAUGGAAGAACACCAGUGGCGAAGGCGGCUGUCUGGUCUGUAACUGACGCUGAGGCUCGAAAGCAUGGGUAGCGAACAGGAUUAGAUACCCUGGUAGUCCAUGCCGUAAACGAUGAUUACUAAGUGUUGGAGGGUUUCCGCCCUUCAGUGCUGCAGCUAACGCAUUAAGUAAUCCGCCUGGGGAGUACGACCGCAA
rnacentral:rRNA from 1 species